UACUCGAGUGGCGAACGGGUGAGUAACACGUGGGUGAUCUGCCUUGCACUCUGGGAUAAGCUUGGGAAACUGGGUCUAAUACCGGAUAGGAACCGUCCUUAGUGUGGUGGUUGGAAAGUUUUUUCGGUGCAAGAUGAGCUCGCGGCCUAUCAGCUUGUUGGUGGGGUAAUGGCCUACCAAGGCGUCGACGGGUAGCCGGCCUGAGAGGGUGUACGGCCACAUUGGGACUGAGAUACGGCCCAG
rnacentral:rRNA from 1 species